rnacentral:lncRNA from 1 species
GAUAAAUGAUGGUUUCUAAAACUUUAGGGCCUAACACGACAGAGGUUGGGCCUUUCUCCAGUCCGUUGUUGUACACAAAUUCAGUAUCCAUAUGUGAUUCCACUUGUUGACUAUACUGUCAAUUUGCAAACAAAAAUAAUGAUUACUACCUACAGUUUAAUAUAUUAGCAAUAUAACAGUAGUAAUACAUAUACACUCAAUUACCUUGGAAAUUCAUGUUUUUGAACUUUUGAUCACUAGGUGUCAUAUGGAUAAGUUUUUAGAUUAAAGAGAAACUUAUUUGUUGUGCAUGAAACUAUUGCUGAUGGGGAUGCCACUCAGGUUGAGCACAUGGGACUGCCACGUAAGACUGCUAGAAAGGUCACUCCUCCUAAAAGACUUGGGGAUUACGUUUGGAAAGGGGGGAAAUCAUGUGAGGAAGGGUAAAAUUGGCAAGCAGUAGGCAUAAAGCAUCAUGAGUGGAGCAGUGCAGUGCAGACUACUUUGUUGUUAUCACUGGGCACUCUUUCUCUCUCAAUUUCUUCUUGUUCCUCACCUCCUUCUUCUUCUAUUAUUAGAUAUACUACUUCUGCAAUUUCCCUUUGUAUUUUCUUAUUUUAGAGACUUCACUACAUCUACUACUUAUAAGUUGAGUUCAAGGCUAUUAAUACAAGUGUGGUUAGUGUUUCACUGUGUCCAUUCAUUACAUUGGUGCUUUCAUCCAGAGGUCUUCAGUGGAUGACCAAAGACUCAAGUCACUUGUUGAAGAAUCAGUUCAGGGUAUGAAAGAGUCGAUUCUUGCAGAUAUUUGCUCCUUGUUACUGGAAGUGCUAGGAAGCAAAACCCAACGCCCAGAGAGGGACUCACAUGAUGACUAUUUUUUGACAGCCCCUAACCUCCGUCACAAGCCAACAUCAGUGGAAUUUGGCCAUUUAUGUGGAAAGAAUCCGGAGGCUUGGAUCUUUCAGGCAGAACAAUAUUUUGAAUUUUACAAGAUUGCAGAAGACCAGCAUCUGUCACUUGCUUCUUUUUAUCUGGACGGGGAUGCAUUGGAGUGGUAUCAGUGGCUUUUUCGAAAUAAACAAAUGGUGUAUUGGGAGCACUUGGCUUCGAAGGUGCGGAUCCAUUUCCACAAAAAAGAUUGGAGUCCACCGAGGGACGUUUGGCGAAGCUCCGGCGAAUGACCACUGUCUCAAAUGUUCAGUCUAGAUUUGAGAUCAUUGCAAACGAGACUGACUACAUGGAUGAUAACCGAAUGGUACGUCUCUUUAUUUCUGAGCUUCGUGAUGAUAUUAAGAACCCUGCUUUGGUCCAUAAGCCAAAGAGUUACGAAGAGACACUUAAUUUAGCCCAUAUACAUGAGCAACAAAUCCAAGCUGAGAAAGGACCCGUUAGGCCAACUUUUGCUAAAACAACUCCCCUUUUGCCUACCCCAAAUUCCACAACCCUAAAUCAAAAUAUCUCUUCUUUUUUAGCCCCUUACGCUGCUUCCCCUUCGAUUCACACUCUUCUUAGAAGGCUCACAAAUGCAGAGCUCCAAAGCCGCCGUGAGCGGGGACUAUGUUAUUAUUGUAAGGAAAAGUAAUCAUCGGGACACAAGUGUAAGAAACCCCCACAACUUAUGUUUCUCACUGAUGGAUCCAAUUUGGACCCUAGCUUGCCAGAGCCGUUUAUUGAUGAUGAUUUCUUAGUGGGGGAAUCACAAGGUUUAGAAUUAUAGGAGCAAUCAUCUAUUUCUUAUCAUGAUUUAUCUGGGGGAAUUUCACCCUCCAUAUUACGAUUCACUGGAAAAGAAAAUGGGUCACCAGUCCAAGUUUUAGUGGAUGGCGGAAGUACUCACAAUUUUGUGCAACCACGUACGGCUAAACAUCUUCAGCUCAAAGUUGAGGUCAUUCCCCGUUUUGCAGUUAUGGUGGGCAGUGGACAAAGUCUCCCGUGUGAAGGUGUGGUGAAGCAAAUCACUUUAUUGAUUCAAGGGUGUACUAUAGUCGAGGAUCUUUAUGUCUUGCCCUUCCAAGUUGUUGAUGUAGUACUUGGAGUGGCAUGGUUGGCUACGUUAGGGGCGGGUUAUAACUGAUUAUGCAACAUGAGAAUUUGAAUUUAAUUUACAUAGGUCUAAGUGGUUAUAGCAGGGGGAUUCAUCCACUGAUGCUCACCAAAUUCAUUUGCAUAGUUUGAGGCGUAUGGCAGUGACAGAUGCAAUUGCUUCUUUUUUUUUUGGCAAUGAUUACUCCUGAAGGGAGUAGUGAAGGUGAAAUGACCACAUAUUUGAGUGGUCUAUUGGACUCGUAUGAUGACAUAUUUCAAAAACCUUCGGGAUUGCCACCUUCUCGUGUUUAGAAUUAUUCGAUACAUCUCAUCUCAGGGGAGCAACUAGUGAAUGUUAAACCAUAUAGAUACCCGCACUUCCAAAAGCAGGUCAUGGAGCAGAUGGUGAAAGAUAUGCUUAAAAUGGAGUUAUACAGCCCAACACCAAUCCAUUUUCAUCCCCGGUGCUAUUAGUGCGCAAGAAGGAUGGCACAUGGUGCUUUUGUGUUGAUUAUCAGGCACUCAAUGCCAUCACAAUCCGAGAUCGCUUCCCUAUUCCAACCAUUAAUGAGUUUGUUUUAUGAAUUACAUGGUGCUCAAGUCUUUUCAAAGUUGGACUUGUUAUCAGGUUAUCAUCAGAUAAAGUUUAAGCUUGAGGAUGUGGCUAAGACAGCCUUCCGUACUCAUGACGGUCAUUAUGAAUUUUUGGUAAUUCCUUUUGGAUUGACUAAUGCCCCUUCGACAUUUCAGCUACUAUGAUUGAAAUUUUUCGUCCACAUGUGCGUCGCUUUGUUCUGGUAUUUUUUGAUGAUAUAUUGGUCUAUAAUGCAUCUUGGAGCGAUCAUUUGGAGCAUUUAGCAGUGGUAUUGCAGUUGUUGAGGCAACAUCAACUUGUAGCCAAAUGCUUGAAAUGCUUGUUUGGUCAAACCUCUGUUGAUUACCUAGGACACAUCAUCUCUGCUCAAGGCCUCUGAGUAGAUCUAGACAAAAUCAGUACCAUUGGGCAAUGGCCACCACCACGAUCAGUGAAGUAAGUUCGUAGUUUCCUUGGGCUAGCUGGGUAUUAUCGUCGGUUUAUUCACCAUUAUGUAGCUAUAGCAUGUCCCCUAACUGACUUGUUACGCAAGGAUUCCUUCAAAUGGACAGCAGUUAAGCAACAUGCUUUCAACACUUUAAAAUCUUGAUUAAGCUCUACCCCUGUUUUGUCCUUGCCCAAUUUCAGUCAGGAGUUUCAGGUUGAAACUGAUGCAUCUAGGCGAGGUAUUGGAGCUAUUUUGUCACAAAAAGCCACCAUAUUGCGUAUUUUAGCCAAAAGUUAAGCUCUAGGAUGCAACAAGCUUCAACAUACCACCAAGAGAUGUUUGCCGUUACUCAAGCUGUGAGUAAAUGGCGACAGUACCUAUUGGGGCGUCAGUUCACUAUUCUUACUGAUCAACAAUCACUACGUAACUUGACUACCCAGACUAUACAAACCCCUGAGGAACAAAAAUGGCUCGCUAAACUUGUCAGCUAUGACUUUCGCAUCUUGUAUAGGCCUAGAAAAUAGAACACGGCAGCAGAUGCCUUGUCGUGUACUUUAGAGGCUUUUCUCAUGACUAUUUCAAUCAAUUCUUUUGCUAUAGAGGUUAAUUUGAAGCAGCUGAAUCAAACUAACCCCGAAUUGGUAGCAAUACAGCAGGCCUUGCUUCGUGGGGAUAAGGAUUUUGAUGACUAUCAGUUCAAAUAAGGGAUGUUAUUUUAUAAAGGUAGGAUAGUUAGUCCCUCGAAAUCUCCCUUACGUCAUAAAUUAUGAAUUGAGUUCCAUGCUACUGCUAUAGGAGGACAUGUCGAGGUUGCCCGCACAUUCCAUUGUUUGUCAUCUAAUUUUUUUUGGAAACGGAUGCGCAAGGAUGUCCAAACAUUUGUGGUUGCGUGUCAUAUAUGCCAACAAAUGAAAGAUUCUUACCUACAAUCAUUGCCGAUUCCAAACUAGGUCUUUGAGGAUAUUGCAAUGGACUUCAUUACUUGUCUUCCGAGCUCAAAGGGAAAUACCAUGAUCAUGACAGUCGUAGACCGUCUCACUAAGUACGGUCAUUUCAUUCCACUGCCAUCUACUUUCUCGACUCAUACAGUAGUUGAGGCCUUUGUGGUGGGUAUUAUUAGGCUCUAUUGCCCUCCUCGUUCUAUUAUGACGGAUCGUGAUCCGCGGUUCUUGCACUCUUUUUGGCUAGAGAUUAAUCGCUUGCAGGGAUCCACUUUAGCCAUGAGUACAACCUAUCAUCCUCAAACAGAUGGACAGUCUGAGGCUCUUAACAAAUGUGUGGAACAAUAUUUGCGUUGCUACGUCGCUAAGGUGCCUUCCUUGUGGGUUGCUAUGUUUCCAUGGGCGGAAUUUUUGUACAAUACUUCCUUUCAAACUUCAGCUAGUAUGACCCUUUUUUAGGCACUCUAUGGUCGGGAGCCUCCUACUGUUGCUCUGUACAUUUUGGGGAGUAGUGUGAGCAAACUGGUUGAGUCCUAUCUGUUGCAGCGGGAUGAAGUCUUGCACGUCCUCAAAAAUAAUUUAUUGAAGGCUCAGAAUCGCAUGAAGCGAUUGACUGAUAAGUCUAGGAUUGAUACCUUCUUUGAAGUGGGUGAUUGGGUGUAUGUCAAACUUAAGCCCUUCAACAUAAUACUUUGUGCUUGCAGCGAGAUCAUAAGCUUAGGCGGCAUUAUUUUGGGCCUUAUCAGGUGUUAAAACGCAUUGGCCACGUCACUUAUCGCCUGGAACUUCCUGAAUCUGCAAAAAUCCAUUAUGUUUUCCAUAUUUCUAUGUUGAAGUGUUGUGUUGGCAAUCCGGAUCAGCAAGUAACUCUUCUACAUCUGAGUGUUCCUACUACAGAGAAUCUUGCUAAGUCCAACCUUGAGGACAAUGUUGCUUUCGGGGAAGCGAGUAAUGUUGUGAAUGAAACUAUUGCUGACGGGGAUGCCACUCAGGAUGAGCACAUGGGACUGCUAAGUAAGACUGCUAGAAAGGUCAUUCCUCCUAAAAGACUUGCGGAUUACGUUUGGAAAGGGGGAAGAUCACGUGAAGAAGGGUAAAAUUGGCAAGCAGUACGCAUAAAGCAUAGUGAGUGGAGCAGUGCAGAGCAGACUACUUUGUUGUUAUCACUGGACACUCUUUCUCUCUCAAUUUCUUCUUCAUUCCUCACCUCCUUUUUCUUCUAUCAUUAGUUAUACUACUUCUGCAAUUUCCCUUUGUAUUUUCUUAUUUUAGAGACUUCACUACAUCUACUACUUGUAAGUUGAGUUACAGGCUAUUAAUACAAGUGUGGUUAGUGUUUCACUGUGUCCAUUCAUUACAUUAUUACAUUUGAAAUUUUGUCUAUGGCACAAGCAGAAUUAAAAGUAUAAGAUUAUCCACCUAUACAGUUAUUUUUAUAGAUCGCCAUGGAUUAACAACCCUAAAAGUAAGGUAGUUAACAGUAACGAACAACUUGGACUGUUAUUAGUAGACCAAUUAAUGCUGAAAGAAAUUAGUCCAAAAUGUUUUUUGGGUAGUGACUUAAAAUUUCUAGGAUAGGCCAGUGUGAGACAAUAUCCGAGCAAGGUGAGAUCUAGAGAAAUCGAGGAAUGGGUUGGGUGUUAUAUCUAAGCUUGAUUCAUGUUUUCUAGUAGCUAAGAUAUUAAGGAACCCAUAAGACCUUUUGGAAUCGAAUUCAGGUGAGUAAAAUUCUCAGUAUCGACUUGGCGUGAAAGGGAUAACUUGGGGUGCCAAAGGUCGAAGGUAUGGUGUGAAAUGGGCCUUUGGUGGGGGGGGGGGGAUUCCAAGUCUCUGAUGGUUGUGCAAGUUGUUAUAAAGGGUGUCACGCCGCUAUAGUGGGCAUUUAGUAGGCGCAAUAGCAGGGGUAGGCCGCUAUGGCGAUGUUGCAAUAACGGGUCGGGCGCUAUAUCGGGUUAAAUAAGGAUUUAAUGCAGAAUAGUCUCCAAACUUCUUAUUUUCUACAACUUUGUUCUUGAGAGAAGGGAAGAUAAUUUAAGGCAUUUUCCACCCGUUUUUUCACUUAAUAAUUCUCCGGUAAAGGUAAGUUUGAUACUCCCCUAGUUUGUAAAUUGUUUCUUAAGCCUUAGAAAUUAGGAUAUUACUCUUUGGGGGUGNNNNNNNNNNNNNNNNNNNNNNNNNNNNNNNNNNNNNNNNNNNNNNNNGUUAACUUGAUUUAAUGGUGGGAAAAACCUUGAUUUGGGUAGAAUGAUCAUGAUUUGGCUUGGGAUUAGGAUUUGUGUAUAAUAUUGGUAUUGUUGGGUCGUCAUUGUUUCAUUGUUGUGCUUUAUUAUUUGUUUAAACCAAGAACGAGCCAAGGCAUUGAUAAAUGGGAAAGCUCGGGUUAGAUGAAUGGCGUAUCGCUACACCCUUUUCUUUCUCUACUUUCCAAGUAGGCUUAUGACUUAUUUACGUGUUUAGUAUUACUCCUCAAUACCUUAACCAUAAAAGAACCAUUCCCCUUAAUCAUCCACAAUUAACAUAAAAAGUAAAACUCAUUGCCUCCGAACACCAUCCCACGGGUUCUUAGUUAACGAUGUCAAAUUUCCUUAUAAGCUCAUAGUUUAAGUUGGUAGAGAACUAAUGUCUAAAUUAAAAUAAUAGGAGCUCAUAUAACUAGCUACAACAUAUUCUUAGCGAUUUAGGCAUUUCAUCAAACACUUGGUGAGCGACAAACUUUCAAGAACUAUAACAGCCGCGUUCUCUAUACCUAGCCUUCCGUUUUAUCGUAACCAGUUUACUUCUCCAAUACAAUACCAUUCACCCUUAAUUUGGUCAAAACAACAGCCAACACAGCCUUCUACAAACUCCCUCCUCACCAAAACAUCAACUACCAUGGGUAAAACAUGGACUCACAGAUUUCUAUCACCAUCCCAUGAGUCCUACCCACAAAUUAUACCUAAAGCAUCCUUGGAAUACUAUUUAUGGAGAUAGAAGAGGAGUCAUACCUAUAUAUCCAAAAAAAAGCAGCCCCUGCUCUUUUCUAUUCUCCAAGAACAAUACUUUUUCCUUCAAGAAAACAUUUAGCUAAGUAUAUCUAUAUGUCUAUGGAGAGGAAGACACUUGAUUCUUUAAGAAACCAACUUACCUUAAGCUUUGGAGGAUUGAAGAUGAGAAAAAUAACUUGAAACCAAUCCUUACACG